GUGAGAUACCAUCUGGCACUGCGCCAGACCCGGAAGUGGUCUGUGUGCAUCCCGACCACAGCAACACGUGGUUGUGAUAAGGAGAUAAAUGCAGCCUGAGCUUCAUUAACAGCCUCUCUUCUCUUCCUGGUUGCGGUGAUGGAGGUCGGACACGCUGCGGGGGAGAGAAGACAAGCCCCACCGUGUUAUCAGACUUCACUGACGGAUUUAAGAGCCUGGACUGGAUGCAUCUUGACGAGGAUUUAAGAACCUGGACUGGAUGCAUCUUGAUGAGGUAAUGGGAACACUGCAUGUACAGAGUCCACUGCUGGAUCACCCCGGUUUGGUAUUUUGAAGUUUAAAAGGAGUAAGCUGGAUGUAAUUUAGUGUUCAGUUGGAGGGCAAUUUGAAUCCCUUUGAGUAUAAUUUGCUGCCUGAAAUUGUGGAAUGUCUUUAUAAUCUAUUCACAUGUAACAUCCACAUCCUCUCUUAAAAUAGUCUUGUGAUACUGUAUGUAUAAACACUGAAAUUCACUGGUAAAUAAAGCUAAAUGUGUUAAACUGUGUAUUGUAUAAUCAAUUUUGCCUCAUCAUGGAUAGGUUAUAAAUUGUAGUACAGAAUAUGCAAGAGUUCAUCAGUAGUUGGAUGUUUGCUACUAUUAACAGUCCUUCAAGUAAGUUGUGAUUGCACCAAUUCAUGCAAAUUCAACCAAUUCCCAGUGAAUUUUCCGCAACAUUGGAAUUUUGUCCAGUCACCGCAAAUUUGACCAAUCAUGGCAGGCUGACAUUUAUUCUCACUGGAGCAAGUUGCCUUUGAUUUUUAAUGAAUUGUACAAAAAUAAAUCUCAACUAUUUUUUAAAAUUCACUUGCGCUUGCAAUUUUAUUGCAAAAAAACUCCUAAAACAUUGCAAUUAUCUUUAUAGAAAAGCUGCUGUGAAAUCAGACAUUUUAGGCCACAACAAUCCCCCCCCAAAAAAGCUGGUGAAAUCCUGGAGGGUCUGUAUUAAAGUUUUUCUCAAUUGUUUACAG